rnacentral:rRNA from 1 species
ACGUUAGCGGCGGACGGGUGAGUAACACGUGGGUAACCUACCUAUAAGACUGGGAUAACUUCGGGAAACCGGAGCUAAUACCGGAUAAUAUUUCGAACCGCAUGGUUCGAUAGUGAAAGAUGGUUUUGCUAUCACUUAUAGAUGGACCCGCGCCGUAUUAGCUAGUUGGUAAGGUAACGGCUUACCAAGGCGACGAUACGUAGCCGACCUGAGAGGGUGAUCGGCCACACUGGAACUGAGACACGGUCCAGACUCCUACGGGAGGCAGCAGGU